rnacentral:rRNA from 1 species
GACGAACGCUGGCGGCGUGCUUAACACAUGCAAGUCGAACGGUAAGGCUCCAGCUUGCUGGGGUACACGAGUGGCGAACGGGUGAGUAACACGUGGGUGACCUGCCCUGCACUUCGGGAUAAGCCUGGGAAACUAGGUCUAAUACCGGAUAGGACCAUGGUGUGGAUACUGUGGUGGAAAGUUUUUUCGGUGUGGGAUGGGCCCGCGGCCUAUCAGCUUGUUGGUGGGGUAAUGGCCUACCAAGGCGGCGACGGGUAGCCGGCCUGAGAGGGUGGACGGCCACAUUGGGACUGAGACACGGCCCAGACUCCUACGGGAGGCAGCAGUGGGGAAUAUUGCACAAUGGGCGGAAGCCUGAUGCAGCGACGCCGCGUGGGGGAUGACGGCCUUCGGGUUGUAAACUCCUUUCACCAUCGACGAAGGGUUUCUGACGGUAGAUGGAGAAGAAGCACCGGCUAACUACGUG